rnacentral:rRNA from 1 species
AGCGAACGCUGGCGGCAGGCUUAACACAUGCAAGUCGAGCGGGCACUUCGGUGUCAGCGGCAGACGGGUGAGUAACACGUGGGAACGUACCCUUCGGUUCGGAAUAACGCUGGGAAACUAGCGCUAAUACCGGAUACGCCCUUUUGGGGAAAGGUUUACUGCCGAAGGAUCGGCCCGCGUCUGAUUAGCUAGUUGGUGGGGUAAUGGCCUACCAAGGCGACGAUCAGUAGCUGGUCUGAGAGGAUGAUCAGCCACACUGGGACUGAGACACGGCCCAGACUCCUACGGGAGGCAGCAGUGGGGAAUAUUGGACACUGGGCGCAAGCCUGAUCCAGCCAUGCCGCGUGAGUGAUGAAGGCCUUAGGGUUGUAAAGCUCUUUUGUCCGGGACGAUAAUGACGGUACCGGAAGAAUAAGCCCCGGCUAACUUCGU